CGUUGGCAAGAUGGCUUUGGCAAAAUAAAUAAGUUUCCUUAGUUUUCUUGGUUGCUAUAGGUUACUAGUUGUUCCUAUACUAAGUUGUAACUAGAGGUAAUGAUAGAAUUUAGUAUAGAAGAUUGAUGUAAAUGAGCAGGAGUAGUCCAAGCUCUUACUAAAGCUUCAACUUGUAAAUAUUUUUUGAUAUUAAUGGAUAUACGGAUUACCCAAAAAAAAAAA
rnacentral:lncRNA from 1 species